UACGAAGGGGGCUAGCGUUGCUCGGAAUCACUGGGCGUAAAGGGUGCGUAGGCGGGUCUUUAAGUCAGGGGUGAAAUCCCGGGGCUCAACCUCGGAACUGCCUUUGAUACUGGAGAUCUUGAGUCCGGAAGAGGUAAGUGGAACUGCGAGUGUAGAGGUGAAAUUCGUAGAUAUUCGCAAGAACACCAGUGGCGAAGGCGGCUUACUGGUCCGGAACUGACGCUGAGGUGCGAAAGCGUGGGGAGCAAACAGG
rnacentral:rRNA from 1 species